GCUCAAUAAAAUAGCCCACCUCUACGUGGUGUUGAGCAGAAACAGGUAAUGCUGGCUAAGAGGCUGUG
rnacentral:ribozyme from 1 species